rnacentral:rRNA from 1 species
UGCAGUCGACGCACUCUCGUUUAGAUUGAAGGAGCUUGCUCCUGAUUGAUAAACAUUUGAGUGAGUGGCGGACGGGUGAGUAACACGUGGGUAACCUGCCCUAAAGUGGGGGAUAACAUUUGGAAACAGAUGCUAAUACCGCAUAAAACCUAACACCGCAUGGUGUAGGGUUGAAAGAUGGUUUCGGCUAUCACUUUAGGAUGGACCCGCGGUGCAUUAGUUAGUUGGUGAGGUAAAGGCUCACCAAGACCGUGAUGCAUAGCCGACCUGAGAGGGUAAUCGGCCACACUGGGACUGAGACACGGCCCAGACUCCUACGGGAGGCAGCAGUAGGGAAUCUUCCACAAUGGACGAAAGUCUGAUGGAGCAACGCCGCGUGAGUGAAGAAGGUUUUCGGAUCGUAAAACUCUGUUGUUGGAGAAGAAUGUAUCUGAUAGUAACUGAUCAGGUAGUGACGGUAUCCAACCAGAAAGCCACGGCUAACUACGUGCCAGCAGCCGCGGUAAUACGUAGGUGGCAAGCGUUGUCCGGAUUUAUUGGGCGUAAAGCGAGCGCAGGCGGUUUCUUAAGUCUGAUGUGAAAGCCUUCGGCUCAACCGAAGAAGUGCAUCGGAAACUGGGAAACUUGAGUGCAGAAGAGGACAGUGGAACUCCAUGUGUAGCGGUGAAAUGCGUAGAUAUAUGGAAGAACACCAGUGGCGAAGGCGGCUGUCUGGUCUGUAACUGACGCUGAGGCUCGAAAGCAUGGGUAGCAAACAGGAUUAGAUACCCUGGUAGUCCAUGCCGUAAACGAUGAGUGCUAGGUGUUGGAGGGUUUCCGCCCUUCAGUGCCGCAGCUAACGCAUUAAGCACUCCGCCUGGGGAGUACGACCGCAAGGUUGAAACUCAAAGGAAUUGACGGGGGCCCGCACAAGCGGUGGAGCAUGUGGUUUAAUUCGAAGCAACGCGAAGAACCUUACCAGGUCUUGACAUCCUUUGACCACUCUAGAGAUAGAGCUUUCCCUUCGGGGACAAAGUGACAGGUGGUGCAUGGUUGUCGUCAGCUCGUGUCGUGAGAUGUUGGGUUAAGUCCCGCAACGAGCGCAACCCUUA